GAUGAUGAACGUAGCGAAAUGCGAUAAGUAGUGUGAAUUGCAGAAUUCAGUGAAUCAUCGAAUCUUUGAACGCACAUUGCGGCCAUAGGUAUUCCUUUGGCCAUGCCUGUUCGAGCGUCAUUUACACCCUCAAGCCUAGCUUGGUGUUGGGCGCCUGUCCCGCCGUUUUCGCGCGCGGACUCGCCUCAAAGUCAUUGGCGGCGGUCGUGCCGGCCCCCUCGCGCAGCACAUUUGCGCUUCUCGGAGGCCCGGCGGAUCCGCGCUCCAGCAAGACCUUUCACGACUUGACCUCGGAUCAGGUAGGGAUACCCGCUGAACUUAAGCAUAUCAAUAAGCGGAGGA
rnacentral:misc_RNA from 1 species